GAUGCUUCACUUUAUGUACAGUAUCAUAUAUACAUAUGAAAUUUUGGAAAUCUGAUGUAUAUUUUACAGCCCAUCUCAAUUGCCACAAGCCGCAUUUCAAGUAUUUAAUAGCAGAAGAAGGAGCCAAUGACAAGGUGAUAUAAUCUAGAGGCUUGAUAACCUUGCACGAUAACAGUGACAUGAAAAGCCAGUCCACAGGAAGUUACAAGGAGAAUAAAACAGCAUAAACUAAAGUGCCAAAGUCUAGGCAGUAGAGAUAAAUAUUCAGAUAAUGAGCAAGCAGCCCCUUGUAGAUAUUUCCUAUCGCUGGAGUAAUUAGAAAUGAAACUAGAAAGGUGGUUUUAGGACAAACCAGAAGGGUUACACAAACGCAGUGAACUCUAACCUCCCUGAAAGCAUAGAGCUUUCUGACAAGAUGGUCAGGAUUCAAACAGUGCUUUAGAAAGAUUAACUUGUCAUCAGAAGGUAUGAUUGGUGGAUAUAGCAUCUCACUAGAUCUUCAAAAAUAUUUCAGAGUAAAUUCAGUAAUCUCAUUCAGUAAUCAUCAUGCAAAUCAGAAAACUAAUAGUUAUGUAAUCAUAUAUGAAAUUGGUUUUCUGAUUUUUAUUAUAUCAGUUGCAGGAGCUGACCUAGAAAAAUGCACCUUUACCAAGCAGAUUUCUAAGUGCAUAAGGCCAAGGGUCAUGCCCCCUGUGGAGGUCCUCCUGGAAGUACCAAGCUGGGAACUAAGCUCCAAACAAAAGUACCUUUGGGAGCCAGUCCAGAUCAGAACACCGCAAAAGCUACUAGAGCUGCAUACUAAACAAUGGGACACAACACUGUUUCCUUUGUGAAUCCAGAGUUUCACUACCCAACAACAGUUUCUUCAAGAAAAAUGCAAAUCUCCCAAUUGCAGUAAACAGGACAACUUCUGCUUGUGUCAAGGUUGUUAUCCAAAUAUUUCUAAGAAAAGAGUUUAUUUCUAGAAAUGACACUGCUGGAAUUCUGUACCUAAGCAACAUAAAUUCAGUGAAUAUGAAGAGGAGAUUUUGGAAAAACGGAGGCUGCAUCCUGCACACAGAAGUUAAUAGCCAGAGGUGAAUAGCGUUUGGUGGGCAGGUGUUUGCUCGUCGUCGUCGGUGGUCAACGCAUUAUAUGGGCAGUCUGUGUUGGCCAGAGCCACUCAUCCCUAGAAAGUGCCUUCAGUGAACACCGAGCUGAUGUCGUGGAACCUUCGAACGGAAGAGACCAAGUCGCCCAGCCAGCUCUUCAGCGAGGAAUCUUCCUGUUUCUGAAUCACCAACUCUUUCGGGAUUAAAAAAGGAAAAAGUUAUGACCUCACCUAAGAAUGGUGCAUGUCCACCUGCAUGCAAACAGAGUCACAGUCCUUUUCAAGGCAUCCACUAAGAACUGGUGCCUCAGAUGUUUGGCAUAUUUGAAAAGAAAGAGAAAGUUUUAAAAUUUUCACAGUCAUUUUAAUACCACAGAGAGCAUCUUUAUUUUAAGCCACCUCAUAAAUUGACUGGUCCUAUACUCAGUGCCUGCUGUGACAUUUAUCUGCACUUGUGAUUUUUAAUGCAGUAAUUAUAAGAUAAAUAUUUUUGAACUCAUUGUGACCUUUUGCCUUCAUGUUAAAGGUUGGAAAGAAGACUUUAUUAGUUUUUCUUUUGAUAUUUUUGUUUGCCACCUCAUCCUCGGAGAGGGGGAAAAAAGAAAUUCUCUAAGGAAAAAGCAUUUCCUACUCAUUUAUGUAUCCAGCAUCAAUUUUCAUUUUGACAUUAACUGGGAAAGGAAAUGAUGAAAACAGAGUCUGAUGUGGCCUGGAAAACAGUAUGCCAAGUCACAGCAGCCAGACCCCACACUGCAUCUUUCCAUUUGUAUGAAAAACAACCACCCUUGGAAGUGUGUCGCUCGGCAAUUUCACGGCUGUGAGAACACCAUAGAGGGUAAUUACUCCAGCUAAGAUGGCCACGGUGUUACUAGGUGAUACAAUGUUAAGGGACCGCUGGAAUAUAUGUGACAAAACAUCACACACCAUGUUCAGAACAUGCAGUUUCACGAAAUGUAGGCUAGUGGUUGUCAGGAGCUAGCAGGAGGGCAACAAAGAGUUACUGCUUGGUGGGACAGGGUGUUGAAAUGUGGAAAUAGGUAACCGGUGGUCGUACAACCUGUGGAUGUUCUAGAUGCCACCAAACUGCGCUUUAGAGCAGUUUGAGCGGUUUUGUGUUAUAUGUCUUUACACACAAAAAUCUUUUAGGGUCCUUUUCUACUGUUCUUACAGUUCAUUUAGAUAAAGUCAUAAAGGCAAUACAGGAGAAAACUACUGUGGCUUAAAUGAUUGGUUGUUUUUAUCAGUGGAAAUCAAGGCAAAAAUCUUAGUCCUCCUGAGCCCGUGUGGUUCCUUCCUUUUACAGACAAGGAAGUUAAGGCUUCAGCACUAAUGUGGUCUCGGGGAGCCGACAUCUAGAUCUGAAUCUGCUUCUGCCACAUCUUUUGGCGUGAAAUGUCAGUAAGUGCAGUGUGACUUCGUCCAUCAGAGUCUCGGCUCCCACGUUAAAGAAGGGAGGCUGAAAAUACCUCGUCCUGCCCUCCCCACAGUUUCUCCAGGUCUUCUGUGGAUAGGGCAACGCCACACCGCUUGGAGGAGGAGCACAGUCCUGAGAAAGUCUCCGAAGAGUCUCAGAAGGGCCAAGUGGAAAUGGCUAUUCCUGGCACUUUCAGGUUGGCGCAGCAGGUUUUUCAAGGCCUUCUGGGAAGACCUGGCAAGAGGAUCCUCAGAUACCGAGAGACCAGCCUUUCCUGUGGAGUCCUGAGCCCAACCCACUUGGAGGAAGAACCCAGGGAGGGUCCCACGGGACAGGCUGGUCACAGGCACCUGUGGACAGAUUUUGUUCAGACCAAAGGAUUUCAUGUUGUUCUGUCAUCAUGUUGUUGCUGUUUGUGAUAGAGGGGAUUGAACCCAGCAUUUUGCACUGAGUGGCAAUCUUAGCCCUUUUCACUUUUUUAAAAAAUUUUGAGACAGAGCCUCUUUGUCACUAAGUUGUUCAGGUUGGGCUAGAACUUGGGAUCCUUCUGCCUCAGCCUCCCAGAGUUCACACUGCUUAAAUGGGUAGCCCUAAGUUUAGUGCGAUUUGAAUGUCAUCAGGCCUAAAUUCUCACACAUAGCUACUGGCCUCUCUCUCUUUUCCUGUGACUCCCAACACUCUCUUGCGCUGCCCUGUUGAAAUGUGUCAUCAGUCUUUUUCAAAUCGAUUUGCUGUCUAAAGGUCAAGUAUAACAGUUUUUUUUCAGAUUCAGAAUUCAGUUGUAUUAACUAGCAGUUUUCUGACCCCCCAGAACUACCCACUCUCCUAUGCAGGUUACAUCUGCAGGAUGAGAUGUAACUAAUUCCUAUUUUAGACACUUUGAAUGGAGGCAUCAGAAAAAGCUCUUGAACUGGGAUUGGGACUCACAUGGGUUCCAUUGCCUUCUGCCUCCGUGGAUUUAGGGGAUACUUUCCUACCUGGUGACUGCAGUGUACAAGGUGUAAGCCUGCUGAUUAAAGCAGGUCACUGCUAAAGUCUCUUCCUAGUUCUGACAUGUUCUUAAAAGUCAGGCUCUUCUUGAAGGCAAACCUACUUCCUAAGGAGCUUUUAAAAAAGUCAAGUUAAUUAAUUUAUAUUUUUCUAUCAAUAAACAUUUGCUGAACGCCACUAGAAGCCAAGACUGUUAGGUAAUGAAAACAGGGUUGUCAGUCCUGGCCCCCGCCGAGCUGGAAGCCUGGAGGAGGAAGUGACCAGUGUAAGCCUCUGAUUUAAUCACACAGGGUUUAUUGUUGAACCCUGAAGAGGGAGCAGGUUCUAAAACUGGCUAGGACUGCCCAGGAAAGCAUCAUCUACCAGCUAUCAAUACGCUGGAACUGAGAUAAUAGGUAGUUUGGGCCAAGAUGAAAAGGGCAUUCUCGGCAGAGGAAGGAGUUUUCAAAGGCAUGAAAGCCAGAAAAAGCAGAGUAUGUUGUGCAGAUGGCAAGACAAUAAUUUACAGGGUUGGAGCCUCAGGCUGCCAGGUCUCCAUAAUGGGACAAGAUUCCUGCUAAACAGGCAAAAGAUUCCUAGGUUAGAAAUGAGUUCAUACAUAGCAAGGGCCUUGGACUUGACUCUGUAGGGAGGAGGGCCCCUGAAAGUUUGAUGGUGAAGAAUAACCAAGUUACAUUUGGAUUUUAUCACACACCUUCACAAUAAGAGGGGAGAUAGACUUGCAGAAGAGGAAGUGGAGAAAGAAUAAGUCCAGAUGAUGCGGGGCCAUAGAUUACAAAAAGAAUGCCUGCCCAGGAGCAGGAUUCCUCAGGGGAAAUCCAUAGCAAACAGAAUUGUGGUGUGAAGCUCUUGGGUCUGUGUGGACAGACAGGAAGAGAAGUCCACUGAGUGCUGGGAAAAUAAACUGUGGCGGCUCUGGGGGGUAGGCUGGCUGGUGACAGAAGUGAGAGACUCACUGGCCUGCCUCUAAGGAAAAGCUCAAAUUUCCUGACAUCGUUAAUAAAACCACUGCAUAAUAAGAAAAGAAUGAUGGCAAAGAGGCAAGUGAGGGAAGAAACCGUCUUUUCUGUAAUUUUCCUGAGGCUGUUCUCCAAAAUAACAAUAUGCCUUGUAUCUUCAAAGAUAAGUAUCUCUUCCUCGUAGCCAAUGCAUACAUUUUAUGAUAGACUGUAAUACUAUUAAAUAUACGUGCACUUGUAUGUGUUGGGUACGUGUGGGUGCCCACAUCGCUUUUCUCAUUUUAGGAAAAGAUAGGGCAUCAGUUCCAAGCCAGGUUAGCUGCCUGACAGCUAGGCAAAGGUGCUGCUCUCCUGCAGAACUGUAGUCUGUUGGCCUCAUAUGCACAGUGUUUGCAGGACUCCUCUCCCAUCUUGCAGAGUGUGUUUGGCAUGAAGGUCUUGGUAUCAGGCAGACAACAUAUUUCUUACUUUAGAAGUACAACUGGUAGGAUAAAGAGCCUGAGAACCGGAACUGUUGCCAGAAAUAACCGGGCAAAUUCACCCACUUCCAAGAAGGUCACUCCAUUUGAUUGAAGCAGAUUCUUGGCACAGCCCCGGCCAUGUAUGCCUGUUGCGUAACUCUCAGCCCUUGGUUCCCUCCAUGGAGAGUGCUGUGUUGACCUGACAUUUUCUGUUCCUGUCACAGCAUUUUCAAUCCACGUCAUCGUAAUCACUAUCUGUCAGGCAACCUUCCCUAAUAAGUCUGUCUCCCUCCUUUUUGUUUUAUUAGCAGGUACCUAUUGAGAAUCCUAUUUUUAACCAAGUUGUAACCUAAGAGCUGUCAUCUGUCAGGUUUUAAAUAUUUGUUAAACAUAGGAGUCCCAGAUUGGUAGUCCUUAAAUGACAGGAAGCUGUAAACAAUAGGAAAAAAAAAAAAAGCAAGCCCCAGGAGGAGGUGUUAAUUACAUUGGAAUUCGUUACUGAACCUGGCUUAGAGAGGGCCAAAGUCAAUGAUCCUAAGGACAUGGAAGGCCAUUCUCCUUCACAGAAGCAGCUGUGCUGACCUUCGGGAAGCUACCUCCCUGUGGACCCUUGUUCAUAAACUAGAGCAACCUUUUUUUCCUUCAGAACUGUCCCAGUCCAGGAACUGGAAAAACAGGAUAAUAUUUCAAGAAGGAUGCACAACUCGGAUGGAGCAGGUUUUGAAGCGAUCGCUCAUUUUUUGUUAGUGUUUCUUACUUUACUUAGCACUUCCCCAACUGUUUUGUGUCACUUUACUUGACCUGAGAGAACACUGAGAUAAGGACUGGGUUACCACAUUUUGCUCAUUAGGAAACUGAGGCUUUGGGGGAUCAAGUAACUUGCCCAAGAAGGUAGAGCUAGAAAAUAGGCUUUAGGAACUCAGGAGUUCAGUCCACAGCCCGCCCUCUUGACACUCUCUUGGGAUGCUUGCAGCCCUCUCCUUCCUGGUACCCCAGAAUGCCCUCUGAUGGAAAUGAAAGAGACACACCUCUCCCCAUGCCACUGCUGGGCUCUGGUUCAAGUCAUACCUGGCCAGGUGGGUGGUAGAAGCUUGGGUUUCAGUCAAGAUUGAAACUCCAAAUCACCUUUAAGGUGGGGGUGAAGUUAAUAUUUGUUCUACAGUUCCAUUCUCCCUAACUCAGCAGUGCCACGAAGCCCAGGGUAACUGUAGACCCUUGGGAUGUAAAAGAGGCACAAGCCAAGGGUACAUCCAUCUGCACAGGUCAGUUCAGGAUCACAUUUUUAACACUAACAGCUUCUGUUUUCAUCCAGUGGCUUUUUCUCUUCUCAUGCAUGGUGGAAUAUGUGCUUUUCUUUCACAGCAGGUCUUAUCCCCAGAGUAUUUUUCCACUAUUUCCCCUGACUUAGGGAAAUUCAAACUUGCACAUCCACAGAACCCUAGGACAUGGUAGACUAUUAUGUCCAGUCGAGCAGAAGACCUUUAAAUAGCAUUGCCUGGUUCACUGGAUUCCACAGUGACAGCCACCUGGGGCAGGGGAAGAGUCUUACUAAUUGACAGUCACUCAGAAAUGAUGAUAAAACAGCUCUGAAAUGUUUAUUUUUAAGUGUUCAUUGAAGCCCAUCCACAUGCAUGUGUUGAAUACUAAAGUACAAAACCCUUCCCAAACCACUUCCAGUCUGAUUGCACUUGGCAGAAGAAAGCGUGGAAUUAUAUGAAAUCAAGGUUCAGAUGUGUGGAGCGUGAUCCCAUUGAUGAGACUUGGUUUCAGGCACACACCUCUAUUGUAAGUGAACUACUGUGUUCUCCUUCAAAUCCUAAAAAUCCACUAUUUUCUAUUGGGAGCUAUGACAUCCUGCCGAAGACAUCAGUCAGGGCUUCCUUUCUGGCAUUUAGGUUUUCCCUUUCUUUUAACAUGUUUGAAAUAAUAGUUAAUACACAAUGUGUCAUUAUAGUCACAAAAUGUUUGGAUUGCAAAUAAGUUAUUUUCCUAUUACCUAAGUUACUUCAAAAAUUCUCUAGAGUGAGGUAGUUUUGAGGGUUUUGCUUUUUGGAACCCAGUUUUGGACACCCAUUUUCCCUUGAAAUGUAUCCACUGGGAACCCUGUUCCCACCGAGUGAAGGCUGAAUGUCUCCCAGAAACAGCCAACUUGGAAGAAGAGAUACAAAGAGCAAUGGGCAAGGCCUGCGCGGAGGACCUCUGAAUUCCUUUUUCAGUUUGCAGAGCUGCAGAUAAGUUUUUUCCAUGGAGCCGUCCAACCCCUGUCGCUGCAAGACCUGAUUUUGUGUGUGUGUGUGUAAACGGUAAACUAAUGAACUUCUGUCAAGUCCAGUGUGUCUGUGUAACUGGGUGCAGAUUUAACUUGACACCUUAACUUCUUCCUAGAAAACAAUUUAUAGUCCUAGAACUGUGGAAUCCCGGAAUAGGAAGGACCUUUGCAGUCACCCUGUCCAAACACCAGUCUCACACUUGAGUUGGCAGUUUCUGAAGAAGUCUGUUUCUCAGGCUGCUGCCCUGAGCCCGAGAGUCACAUGGCCUGAGUCUCCCCAGGCUGUCAGGGCCCUCGCAUGGAUAUCAUCUCUGGUGAUUCUUUCUGCUGGGUAGUGGCUACAUUCUGAGUGGUAAGAAAAGUAAAGAUUUUUUUAAAAAAUCACAUUUAAAGAAAGAUGCCAGUGUUGUUUCUAUUUCCAUUUGAAGGCACUGAGGCUCAGAGACCUUAAGUGAGUGGAGCUUGAAUCCAGGCUGGCUGGGUUUCAGGCCCCACAGUCCUCCUGAGAGAAUAUUUUUUAAGACAGAGUCUUACUAAAUUACUAAGUUAUUCAGGCUGGAAUCAAACUUGUGAUCCUCCUGCCUCAGCCUUGUAGUAUGCUGGGAUUAUAGGCGUGUACCAAUAUGUCCAGCCCCACACUGCUGGGAUGUUUUAACAAACUUCAAGGCAGAGGGGAGAAUAGCCAUUUAUUUUAAAGAGACUGAAAUAGAUUGUUGAUAUGUGUAUGUGCUGCCGAAGCAAGCACACCAGAUUGUCCAUAUGGAGAACUAGAAGCCGAUUCUUUUUGUCAUCCACCAGCUAGCCAGCUGUAUCUAUUCUUCUGUAUUUUCCUUUUCCCUAUAAAAGUCUAUACUUCUGAAAACUUCUCGUUUCAUACUUUUAUUCUGAAUCUCCCCUAAGGAUAUGCAGAAUUGGAAAGUCCCUCGGUCAGCCACCCAUGAAAUAGGAUGAGUAGUUUCAAAUCACAGGGCUGGAAAAUCAGCCAGAGCAGAGCUAACGCGUGAGCUGGUGAGCUGUGAGUGGCGCAGCAGGGCAUGAAGCUCAAACACCAGGAGCCACAGCAGACAGGUGCUCAGAAAAAGGGGAGCUACCUGAAUCCGAUUGCAGAAGAAGGAGACAGGGAGGGAGGGAGUCAGUCUUAAAGUGUCCAGAGAGAAUGCUCUGCUCUCUGUGCAGUGACCAAGAGAGUUGAGAGGUCUGGCUUAGGCUGUAGACAGAACAUCAGAACAGAGGUCUGACCGGCAAAUUAAGCUAAAUAAUAGUAGAAUCUCACUGGUAACGCACCUCUCUAUAGUGAGUUUAUAUUCUCAAAUCUUACACAUACUGCAGUAAGUAGAUACAUGAUAUAUAGAUGAAGGAUGAUUGAGAGGAAGGAAUCGUGUUGAUUUUACAGAAAACACAUGGAAGAGGGAUUCCAGAAAUGGAGAAGGAAGAUUAGGUUCAUGGCUAGUGAAAAACUGGACUUAUCAACAGCAACCCUAGGUUUCUGUCUUGGGGCACCUCAUUCAUUUCCAUCUGAAAAUUAAUCAGAUAUACAAAGAUCAGAUUUGCUUUCUGUCACUGGAAUUUGUCUCCCUCCAAUGACAGCUGUUUCAUUUAUGGUUGGCAUAUUUAUUAUUUAGUUCCAGUAGUGCAACUAGGUUUUCCUUUUCCUUAGCAUUUUGCAUUUUAUUAAACAGGAAGAUAAAAACAAUCACAAACAGGUGUUUCCUUACCUACUACCUACUAGAAAUGAUUAAUGUUAGCAUUGGGCCAUAUUUGCUGGAUAUUUUUUAAAUAUUUAUGUAUAUAACAUAAAUAUUUAGAUAUAUAUAAAAUGAUAAAUUCAAAGCCUCUUGAUUUCCUACCUUAGAUCAUUCCCCAUUUGUCCUCCCGAGUCAAUCUCUUAUCAUGAAUUCUGUGUCCUUUACCAAAGUGUUACACACCUGUACCAUCUAUUUAAACACAGAUAUACGAUAUAGUCUUGUUACUUUUUAAAUUAGUUAGUUUAUUAUAUUACAGGUGUUAGCUCACAUGUAUAGCAUUCUGUAAGUGUGGACCUACAUCUGGCUAUUUGUCAGCAAUCCAUUUUGAAAUCUUAGCAUCACUGUGACUAGUUUCAAGAAGUACUUUUUUAAAAAAAAAGUUUCCAAUAGGGCAAAUGUCCCUGUUAGAUAAAGAUUAAGGUGACACUUUUUGUGAAUAGAGGAAGACAUUAAAAGUACUCAACUCUACAUACAGAAUGCCAUGAGGAUCUUGGAUUUAUCAAAUUGAAAACCACGUUUUAAAAAACUGCAAUGAUUACAGUAGUCUAGAUAUUUUUGUUUUGCUUCAUGGAGCUAUUUUAUUCAAAUGAAAGUGCUUUAAAGAUGAAAGCACACUAUUUUCCCCUGCCAGAAUUAAAUCUUUCCAUGCCUCAUCCCACAAAGUUCAUUCAAGUUAAAA